UAUCUUACUGAAAACAUGUUCUACACAGUUAAGAAGGUGGUUUGCCCAGGGUGAGGAUCUUCCAUUCCACACUUAGGUUGGGUUGACCCUUGUGAUUUCCCUAAAUGUGGGAAACUCAACUGCAUAAUUUAUGGUAGUGGAGGACUGCAUUCACACAAUUCCCUG